rnacentral:ncRNA from 2 species
GACAAAUAAAUCGAAUACCCUCAUAUAAUAACGGGGAUAGGGCCUGUAAGUUUCUACCCGGCUGCCGUAAACGGCCGGACUAUGAGGGGAAGUGACUGUCUG